rnacentral:rRNA from 1 species
AACGAACGCUGGCGGCGUGCUUAACACAUGCAAGUCGAACGUGAAAGGCUUCGGCCGAGUAAAGUGGCGCACGGGUGAGUAACGCGUGGGAAUCUACCCUAGAGCGGGGGACAACCCGGGGAAACCCGGGCUAAUACCGCAUACGUCCUACGGGAGAAAGAGGGCCUCUGCUUGCACGCUCUCACUCCAGGAUGAGCCCACGUCCGAUUAGCUAGUUGGUAGGGUAAAGGCCUACCAAGGCCACGAUCGGUAGCUGGUCUGAGAGGAUGAUCAGCCACACUGGGACUGAGACACGGCCCAGACUCCUACGGGAGGCAGCAGUGGGGAAUAUUGGACAAUGGGCGCAAGCCUGAUCCAGCAAUGCCGCGUGUGUGAAGAAGGCCUGCGGGUUGUAAAGCACUUUCAGUGGGGAAGAACAGAUUCGGGUCAAUACCCCGGAGCCCUGACGUUACCCACAGAAGAAGCACCGGCUAACUCCGUGCCAGCAGCCGCGGUAAUGUGUG